rnacentral:lncRNA from 1 species
CCCAAACCCACUCAGUUUAGUGCCGGGCCGCGGGGUUUCGGUUCUUGCACUGUUGCACCGUCUGUACGCGCGCGCGGGACUGCAUGGACUCAUGCAGGUGUGCGGACCCACAAUGGUACCGAGUCGGACAGUCAGACUGUCGUCAGUUGUCCACCCCCCCUGGUUGUCCGAAAACACUUUGUUGCCCCCCCCCCCGCACCCCUUCCCUGCCCUGCGACGCGCCGCAUUCAGAGGUCCACCACAGAUCAGUCUUCCGCCACCCGUCCCUCCAGCCGUCCGUCAACCAUGACAAACCAC